UACGUAGGGUGCAAGCGUUGUCCGGAAUUAUUGGGCGUAAAGAGCUCGUAGGCGGUUUGUCGCGUCUGCUGUGAAAACUCGGGGCUUAACUCCGGGCCUGCAGUGGGUACGGGCAGACUAGAGUGCGGUAGGGGAGACUGGAAUUCCUGGUGUAGCGGUGGAAUGCGCAGAUAUCAGGAGGAACACCAAUAGCGAAGGCAGCUCGCUGGGACGUUACUGACACUAAGGCGCGAAAGCGUGGGGAGCGAACAGG
rnacentral:rRNA from 1 species